AGUGUACAAGAGUUGCUAUAGCAAUCUCACAGCUGUGCUCUGUCUAGCAGAAACUUGGGAUACAGAAAAACAGCAAAUACAAAUUAUGGAUGAAAUUUAUAAGAUCACUUCCACAGAAAGGGUCCAGCUGUUGGAGAAAAAACUGGCUGUGCAACUGACUGAACUGAAGUCUGAGAUAGAAGAGCAGGGAGCUCUUCAGGGAACAGCUAAUCGAGUUUACAGCUCUGUUCAAAUGCCAAAGGAUAUUUAUUACUUUAGAAGAGAGAGGGAACUAGCACUGAAGAAAACCUUGCAGGUGGCCGAGUCGAAGCCCCUUGUUGUUCAGGCAGACGUCAUGCAGAGGGAGCUAGAGAGCUGCCUAAGAAGGGAGUACACCCCUGAAAAUUUACCUUUGCUUCUGUUGCAGUAUUACACAGAGAGAAUUACCCAGCUGGCCCAGAGUAAAUAUUUACACAUGCUUAGGUGGAAGAGGUUUUGCCAACACAGUAAGAUCAUGGAGCAACUUUAUCCUCUUUACAAGAAACACGUUGGCUACAUUAUGCAGGAGUACAAUGAUGCCCUUCAGAGAGCUGAAAGAUUGUCUGUUGCUCGAGAAAACUUCCUCAUGGGAAAAAACAAUCCUCCUAACUUAGUGACACAGGAAGAUCUGACUAUUUACACAAAGUGGUUAGUGUGCCACCUGCACUCUCGAGACUGUUCACCAGUACCUGCAGGCCCUCCAGUAUUUGCCCAUCUCCAAAGUGCUGAGUGUAGAUUUCAACCAAGUUGCUGAAGUUGGUCAGAAAAAUGAAAAUGUCUGGUCAAUGACAUUGACCCUGACAUUCAGAGUUCUGCAUCUCCUGACCCUGUGGAUACCAGCAUUUCUGGGCCAAUGAGAACAGAAGCUACUUUUGUCCUCCCCCAACAUGCAACAGAAACAGGAGAACUGAAACCUCAGCUGAAGCUCCUGCUCUCCCAUUUCAAUAUCCCAUAUGAUGUAGAAGAGCUCUGGGACUCUGCUAAGGAAAUGGAACUUUUUUCCUUGGUUUCCCAAAAAUUUCAAAGCAUCUUCAUGGAGCAACAGAGAUUGCAAAUGUUUCCAGACUAUGAAGCUGGAAUAGCUAAAGCAGAUAAUUUGGGUUUGGCAGGACCCAGAAUGACCCUGAAAAAGAGAGCCAACUGGAUUUCCUUCAUAAAGAUCAAGCCAAAAUGUGAUCUGUGGCAAAAGAAGCUUUUGACUAAAUUAAAAGAAUGGAGAAGAACAGAUGCAUUAUUGCAACUCCAAGCAAAGUUUUUGAAGACUUCCAACCCUGAGCGAAUAAUGCAAGUGCUCCAAGAUCACGCUGCAAAGACAGUCAUGCUGGCUCCACAUCAUCCAUCUUUUGUGGCUUCCCAAGGUUUGCAUCAGUGCAACUAUGACCAAGUCUGGGAGAAUAUUUACAGCAACAUCAACCUCUGUCAGAAUAAAAAUAUGAAGGAUGACGAUCUCUCCAUGAAACAAAAUGAAAAUGAUCUAUCACAAAUAAGUCUCAGCCAACAUGCUGAUGGGCCUCUCAAGCAGAUACAAGAGACGGGGUACAACUAUGCAAUGACCCUACAACUGCUGGGCUUGGAUGGCGGCACUGAGCCCAGUGAUAGGAAUCCUGUUCUGAUGAGAGGGGCCUACUUGUCUUUUCUGUAUCUACGCCACCUUCGAAUCAGAGAACUGCAGUGCAUCUGCUUAGGAAUUCUGAAUUAUUUCAGAUCUGUUGAGCGAACCCUGACAAUCAAUACUUCGGGCCUUACCUUGGUUUCAGGGAAACUGUUCCCCACCAUGGAAGAUAGUUCCUGGGUAAAUAUGGCAAAAGGAGGUCUGGGCACCUUGCAGGGCCUGGGCACUCACCACUAUGUCCAUGAGACGCCUGCUGAGCACAAGGUCCACAGCGUCCAAUUCAUGGAGUUCUCGGAAGUGGAGAAUCAGGAUGACUACUACAGCACA
rnacentral:sRNA from 1 species